rnacentral:tRNA from 1 species
CCUUCGAUAGCUCAGUUGGUAGAGCGGAGGACUGUAGAGGUCUGUAGUGAUCCUUAGGUCGCUGGUUCAAAUCCGGCUCGAAGGA